rnacentral:rRNA from 1 species
UACGUAGGGUGCAAGCGUUGUCCGGAAUUAUUGGGCGUAAAGAGCUUGUAGGCGGUUUGUCGCGUCUGCUGUGAAAUUUCGGGGCUCAACCCCGAACUUGCAGUGGGUACGGGCAGACUAGAGUGUGGUAGGGGAGACUGAAUUCAGGUGUAGCGGUGAAAUGCGUAGAUAUCUGGAGGAACACCGGUGGCGAAGGCGGCAGUCC